AUACGUAGGUGGCAAGCGUUGUCCGGAAUUACUGGGUGUAAAGGGAGCGCAGGCGGGCGUGCAAGUCAGCUGUGAAAUCCAUGGGCUUAACCCGUGGGCUGCAGUUGAAACUGUAUGUCUUGGGUGAAGUAGAGGUAGGCGGAAUUCCGAGUGUAGCGGUAAAAUGCGUAGAUAUUCGGAGGAACACCGGUGGCGAAGGCGGCCUACUGGGCUUUAACUGACGCUGAGGCUCGAAAGUGUGGGGAGCAAACAGGAUUAGAUACCCUGGUAGUCCACACUGUAAACGAUGAUUGCUAGGUGUGGGGGGUCUGACCCCUUCCGUGCCGCAGUUAACGCAAUAAGCAAUCCACCUGGGGAGUACGGCCGCAAGGCUAAA
rnacentral:rRNA from 1 species